GUGCUCACUUCAGUAGCACAUAUACUAAAAUCGGUAUGAUUAUAGAGACUAGCAUGGCCCCUGCACAAGGAUGACACACAAAUUUAUGAAGUGUUCCACAUUUUA